CUUGGAUUAUUUUAUGCUAUUCCUGUUACCCAGCGGAGAUACCUCUCCACUACACAUAGCAAUACCAGGGUACUCUUUAUAUAGAAAAGAUAGGGAAGGCAAGAAAGGGGGAGGGGUGGCCCUGUAUGUGAAGGAUAGCAUAAAAUCUAGCCUAAUAAAAGUUAGUGAGGCGAACAUAGAGUCCGUUUGGGUUACGUAAUUUGGUAAUCACACAGUAACUCAUGUAGGUGUGAUUUAUAGGCCCCCCAGGACAAAUUGAAGAAUUAGAUAAUCUACUAGUUGAGGAAAUAGCUAAAAUGACAAUGAAGGGGGAAGUUAUCAUCAUGGGUGACUUUAAUCUUCCUGAUGUAAAUUGGAAAACAAAAUUAGCUACUUGUGCAAGGAGCACACAUAUUCUAAACUCCCUACUGGGAUUGUCUCUAAAACAAGUAGUUGAGGAGCCAACUCAUAAAGAGGCCAUACUAGAUUUAGUGUUAAAAAUGGAGAUUUGGUUAUCAGAUAUUACUGUAGGUGAAAGUUUAGGAUCCAGUGAUCAUCAGUCAAUGUGGUUUAAUAUAAGAAUAGUGAGUCACACCACACAAAAACAAAAGUUUUAGACUUUAGAAAAACAGACUUUUCUAAAAUUAGAAUAUGUGUAGAGGAGUCAUUAUCAGACUGGAGCAAUUUAAAUGGAGUCCAAGAGAAAUUGGAUUAUUUAAAAGUUGCACUAGGCUUGUCAGUAAAAGCAAAAAAUUCAAGAAACCACUGUGGUACUCCGAAGAUGUGGCCAAAAUAGUUAAAAACAAAAAGGUAGCAUUUAGUAAUUAUAAAAAAAAGCAAAGUGAGGAAGACAAAAUUAUCUUUAAGAUUAGGCAGAAAGAGGCUAAGCAAGUUAUAAGAGCUUCCAAAUCACACACAGAAGAGAAAAUAGCAC